rnacentral:misc_RNA from 1 species
AUAAUUUUGAAAUGAUGAUCAAGCAAAUGAGAUUUGAAGAUACUGGCCAAGUUAUUGAUGCACAUUCCAAAGUCAAUCACAUCAAUAUUGUAACUUUGCUUGGUGUGUGUUAUGGAGACAAUGAUUCCUCUUGGUCUUACCUUGUGUUUGAGUUACCUAGCAAGGGCUCCUUGAGGGAUUGCUUAGCUAAUUCAUCUAGUUCUCUACAAUGGCAUAGGCGAACACAAAUAGCUUUUGAUAUUGCUACAGGUCUUCACUAUCUACAUUACUGCAUUUUUCCUUCAUGUGCUCACAUGGGUGUCAGCAG